AUUGCAGAACACAUUGAACAUCGACACCUUGAACGCAUAUGGCGGCCUCGGGUCCAUCCCGUGGCCACGCCCGUCUGAGGGUUGGCG
rnacentral:rRNA from 1 species